AGGGAUGAGGAAGAGUAGAAUGAGAUUAUCUGCAGGUAUAUGUAUUAUGCAUUUUCUAGCAACUGAAGGGCCACUGUAUUUUUUGACAUGUUACCAGCUAUAGUUUGCAUGUGAUCACUGUGAGCUAAAUGAAACUUUGAUGGAAUCCUCAACUGAAGGAUCACAGAUGCAUUGGCUGUGUUGUCCCGAGUACAUCUGCCCCUCAAAGGAAGCUAAAGAGCAAGGAUACUGAUGUAUACAUGCCUUACAGAUAAAUGUAUAGCAAGGAGGAGAAAGUGCCUCUGGCGAGGGAAGCAAAGGUGAGAGGGAAACUCCUCUCUUACAAGCUGAGAGUGGUUAAUGUAACGAAAUUUUGUAAUGCUGAGUUUGUUCUGAAUGUAAUAUACAUGGUAAUGAAUUUGUUAUUGGCAGUCAGUCAUUCGAUUCCUGUAAUGCUACCACAGUGCAAACAAAAAUUCUAAAAUAUAAUCGCCAUGAGCAUGGAGCUCAUUUCAAUGAAGACCUUCCAUCCCAUGGCCCUCCGACUUACAAAUUGUCUUUUAGUAGUAAUACAAGCAAACUUCAUGAUGGUUGCCUUUUUAGAGGUUUAGAUGAUGUGAAAAGGACAGUAACCGAAAGCAAAUAAUGUAUCCAAAGUUUAUUUUCAACACGGAAACAAUACAAAAAUAACACCAACACUCACCACUUUGAUAUGGCAACAAAAACAACUCUGGAAUCGGUUCUUUGUACAUUUUCGCCAAUGCAGGCACAAGUGUAUAAAAAAUAACAUUCUUUUAUGCAAAAAAAAAACAAAAUAGGCUUUGCAAUUUCUCACUACAAAUGCCUAAUAUGGCCUUGGAGUGGGCACGCAGCAAAGGACUUUGCUUUUGCUUUGCCGACGGCGUUUUCAGAAACAACAUAUUCCAAGACAUUCAUAUGGUCUGUUUGAUAUAAAAAUAUCACAUUGACAUUCGUAGAACACUUCAAAACAAAUUCGCUGAGGAGUUGUAGCCACUGGCCAAUGAUUGAGUGUCACGAGUGGUGGGACUAGCAUACAAA